AGAAUGCAAAAUUGAGCGUGCGGCGCGCUUUUUUUCUGUGCGACUUCGUUUCGUUGUUCUGUGUCGAAUCUUCGUGCUUUGUGUUAUUUCUAAUCAAUGCAAAAUUAUCUGGAAAUGGAGGGAGAGAAAGAGGUAAUAGAGUACGAUACUCUUUGGGAGUUCUUAAAGAAUAUCAAAAUGGAAUCUGUGUUUGAGGACUUGAAAGCUGCAGAAGUCACAUACGAUCGCUUGAAGUUUUUGAACAGUGAGGAUGUCAAAGACGCCAUUCGUUUAGUCGGUCCCCGUGCCGAGUUUCGUGAAAAAAUUUUAAUGAUGAAACGGACAGAGGUAAAUAAAUUUUGGAAACAUAAAGGGAUACACAGACUUUAGAGUACAGCACAAAAAUUUGGAACAACUUAUAAAUAGAUCUCCUGAGGGACUGACUGUGCUUCAGUCUUUCAAAACUAAAAACUCACUCAGUCAAGAACAGAGAGAUUUGAUGGUCAAACUUCUCAUAGGUGAAGUCGACACCAAUCGCAAUGCCAUUAAAAUGCAAACAUUAUGCACUUUACUUGACGAAAUAGUAGCUGUAUUUCCAUCUGAAGAAUCCAGGAAGAUUUUCGGAGCUUUGGAACAACAUCCUCUAUUUUUUGGUCCAGAAGGCAUUCCAAAGCAUUUGUAUAACGAUAUAUACUAAAUAAGUUUUCACAUCAGUACAAAAUACAUUCAAUAAUAUCCAAUCUGUUCGGAAUUUGUUACCUUAAGGACAAUCAAAAGAAAUAUGUUUUAUGUUCCUGUAUUUUUUGCAUCUCACUCAAACGAAAAAAGAGAUUAUUUAAAAAGUAUGAUUUAAUUUGAUGGUUAUUAAAAUUAUUUUGGCAUUCUAA